AUGUCAUCACGCCCAAGGUCUGAGAAGGCACUGGGAGGUACUGAUCGGGGUCUUGGUGGUCUCCAUCCUGCUUCUCUCCCUCCUCCUCUUCCUCCUCCUCCAACACUGGCGUCAGGGAAAACACAGGACAUUGGCCCAGAGACAGGCUGAUUUCCAACGUCCUCCAGGGGCUGCAGAGCCAGAGCCCAAGGACGGGGGCCUACAGAGGAGGUCCAGCCCAGCUGCUGACGUCCAGGGAGAAAACCUCUCAGAUGCUGCCGUGAAGAACACACAGCCUGAGGACAGGGUGGAAAUGGACACUUGGGUGAGACCCCGCCCCUGUCCCAGGCACCAAAGGCCUCCUGGUGCCAGAUCUAAUCCUGCAGGACUUCUCUGUCCUCCUUCCCCCGGCUCUCAGCAUCGUCACGGUGGACCCCUCCUUGUCCAGCACUCUGCCUCCCGCCUGCUGGGACCUCACUCUCUCCUGGUGUCCUGGGACCUCGUGGGCCUCCUCCCCGGUCCCCUUCCUGCUCCUCAUCCUCUGUUUGGCCCUCUGGUUGUUAGAGCGCUCCCCAGGCCUCAGGAGGAUGAGGAAUAAAUGAACCACCUCGGUCCCCUGGGCUCCCCUUCAUUCAUUCAUCCAGCGAGUGUUCCCAGGGAGCUCACUGUGGAUUGGGCUCCCCAUGGGAGCUGCAGACACAGCAGGGAGGAAAGCCGCCCCCGCCUCCUGAGCUCACCUCAUGGUGGGAGACAAAAUGCAAAUGAAUGCACUGUGUCCAGGAGUGCAAUGUGCUGUAAGGAACAUAAACCAGGGAAAGGGCAGAGAGUGUGGGGCAGUGGGGCCAGUCUGAAUGGAAGGGGAGGGCUGUCUGCUCAGUUGUCAUCUGAGAAGCCUGGACGGAGGGGGCCACACGAUCCUCUAAUGGACGAGCCCCUGCAGGCAGAGGAAACAGCCAUGCAAAGGCC
rnacentral:sRNA from 1 species